rnacentral:rRNA from 1 species
GAUGAACGCUGGCAGCGUGCCUAAUACAUGCAAGUCGAGCGAAUGGAUUAAGAGCUUGCUCUUAUGAAGUUAGCGGCGGACGGGUGAGUAACACGUGAGUAACCUGCCCAUAAGACUGGGAUAACUCCGGGAAACCGGGGCUAAUACCGGAUAAUAUUUUGAACUGCAUGGUUCAAAAUUGAAAGGCGGCUUCGGCUGUCACUUAUGGAUGGACCCGCGUCGCAUUAGCUAGUUGGUGAGGUAACGGCUCACCAAGGCAACGAUGCGUAGCCGACCUGAGGGGGUGAUCGGCCACACUGGGACUGAGACACGGCCCAGACUCCUACGGGAGGCAGCAGUAGGGAAUCUUCCGCAAUGGACGAAAGUCUGACGGAGCAACGCCGCGUGAGUGAUGAAGGCUUUCGGGUCGUAAAACUCUGUUGUUGGGAAGAACAAGUGCUAGUUGAAUAAGCUGGCACCUUGACGGUACCUAACCAGAAAGCCACGGCUAACUACGUGCCAGCAGCCGCAGUAA